rnacentral:rRNA from 1 species
GAGUUUGAUCCUGGCUCAGGACGAACGCUGGCGGCGCGCUUCACACAUGCAAGUCGAACGAGAAGCCCGGGCUUGCCCGGGUGGAAAGUGGCGAACGGGUGAGUAACACGUGAGCAACCUGCCCCGAAGACGGGAAUAAGCCGGGGAAACCUGGUCUAAUGCCCGAUGCUCUCGCCGGACCGCAUGAUCCGGCGAGGAAAGCUCCGGCGCUUCGGGAUGGACUCGCGGCCUAUCAGCUUGUUGGUGGGGUAACGGCCCACCAAGGCGACGACGGGUAGCUGGUCUGAGAGGAUGUCCAGCCACACUGGGACUGAGACACGGCCCAGACUCCUACGGGAGGCAGCAGUGGGGAAUCUUGCGCAAUGGGCGAAAGCCUGACGCAGCGACGCCGCGUGCGGGAUGAAGGCCUUCGGGUUGUAAACCGCUUUCAGCAGGGACGAAAUUGACGGUACCUGCAGAAGAAGCCCCGGCCAACUACGUGCCAGCAGCCGCGGUAAUACGUAGGGGGCGAGCGUUGUCCGGAAUUAUUGGGCGUAAAGAGCUCGUAGGCGGUUCGGCAAGUCACGUGUGAAAUCUCCACGCUCAACGUGGAGGCGCCACGUGAGACUGCUGUGACUCGAGUCCGGUAGGGGAGCGUGGAAUUCCCGGUGUAGCGGUGAAAUGCGCAGAGAUCGGGAGGAACACCCGUAGCGAAGGCGGCGCUCUGGGCCGGUACUGACGCUGAGGAGCGAAAGCGUGGGGAGCAAACAGGAUUAGAUACCCUGGUAGUCCACGCCGUAAACGUUGGGCACUAGGUGUGGGGCUCUAUCGACGGGCUCCGUGCCGUAGCUAACGCAUUAAGUGCCCCGCCUGGGGAGUACGGCCGCAAGGCUAAAACUCAAAGGAAUUGACGGGGGCCCGCACAAGCGGCGGGAGCAUGUGCUCAAUUCGAUGCAACGCGAAGAACCCUUACCUGGGCUGAACUACGCGGGAAAAGUCAUAGAAAUAUGGUGUCCUUCGGGGUCCGCGAUAGGUGGUGCAUGGCUGUCGUCAGCUUGUUUCGUGAGAUGUUGGGUUAAGUCCCGCAACGAAAGCAACCUUCAUCCCAAAGGCCCACCGGGUAAUGCCGGGGACUCGUGGUCGACCUCCGGUGCCAAACCCGAGGAAGGUGGGGACGAGGUCAAGUCAUCAUGCGCCUUACGUCCAGGUCUCCACGCGUGUUGCAAUGCUCUCUGCAAAGGUCUGCAUUGUCGCGAGGGGGAGCUAAUCCCAGAAAACCGGUCUCAUUUCGGAUGAUAGUAUGCAGAUGGACCGGAGGAAGUCGGAGUCGAUCGUAAUGUCAGAUCAGCACUUCUGCCAUGAAUACGUUUCCGGGCGUUGUACACCCCUCCCGUCACCACACGAAAGUCGGUAACUCACGAAGCCGGUGGCCCAACCCUUGUGGAGGGAGCCGUCGAAGGUGGGGUUGGCGAUUGGGGUGAAGUCGUAACAAGGUAGCCGUACCGGAAGGUGCGGCUGGAUCACCUCCUUUCU